GACGAACGCUGGCGGCGUGCUUAACACAUGCAAGUCGAACGGUGAAGGGACCGGUUUUUGCUGGUUCUGGAUGAGUGGCGAACGGGUGAGUAACACGUGAGUAACCUGCCCCCUUCUUCUGGAUAACCGCAUGAAAGUGUGGCUAAUACGGGAUAUUCUGCGCCUGCUGCAUGGUGGGUGUGGGAAAGAUAUUGUUUCGGUGGGGGAUGGGCUCGCGGCCUAUCAGCUUGUUGGUGGGGUGAUGGCCUACCAAGGCGGUGACGGGUAGCCGGCCUGAGAGGGUGGGCGGUCACACGGGGAAUGGGACACGGCCCAGACUCCUACGGGAGGCAGCAGUGGGGAAUAUUGCACAAUGGGAGAAAGCCUGAUGCAGCGACGCCGCGUGAGGGAUGGAGGCCUGCGGGUUGUAAACCUCUUUCGCCAGUGAAGCAGGCCUGUCCCUUUUGUGGGUGGGUUGACGGUAGCUGGAGAAGAAGCGCCGGCUAACUACGUG
rnacentral:rRNA from 1 species